rfam:Myotis lucifugus cont2.38577, whole genome shotgun sequence.
GAAACAACACUAUGGAGCAGGACUUGCCUCAGUAGGGCUUUGGUGCUCACUGAGUCUGCCCCCUGAGUUUGUCACU